rnacentral:rRNA from 1 species
GGUUCGAUCCUGGCUCAGAUUGGAACGCUGGCGGGAUGCUUUACACACAUGCAAGUCGAACGGCAGCACGGACUUCGGUCUGGUGGCGAGUGGCGAACGGGUGAGUAAUGUAUCGGAACGUGCCUAGUAGCGGGGAUAACUACGAAAGUUGUAGCUAAUACCGCAUACGCCUCGGGGAAAGCGGGGGACCCGGCCUCGCACUAUUAGAGUGGCCGAUAUCGGAUUAGCUAGGUUGGUGGGUAACGGCUCACCAAGGCGACGAUCCGUAGCUGGUUUGAGAGGACGACCAGCCACACCGGGACUGAGACACGGCCCAGACUCCUACGGGAGGCAGCAGUGGGGAAUUUUGGACAAUGGGGAAACCCUGAUCCAGCCAUCCCGCGUGCGAUGAAGGCCUUCGGGUUGUAAGGCACUUUUGCAGGAAGAAACGGCACGGGAUAAUACCCCGUGUAACUGACGGUACCUGCAGAAUAAGCACCGGCUAACUACGUGCCAGCAGCCGCGGUAAUACGUAGGGUGCAAGCGUUAAUCGGAAUUACUGGGCGUAAAGCGUGGCGCAGGCGUUCGAAAGAAAAGAUGCAAAAUCCCAGAGCUUAACUUUGGAACUGCAUUUAACUACUGAAGUAGAGUGUGUCAGAGGGAGGUGGAAAUCUGCGUAGCAGGAAUGCGUAGAUAUGCGGAGGAACACCACGGCGAAGCGCAGCCUCCUGGGAUAACACUGACGCUCAUGCACGAAAGCGUGGGAGCAAACAGGAUUAGAUACCCUGGUAGUCCACGCCCUAAACGAUGUCAAUCUGAUAAGCUGCUGGGGCCUUCGGCCUUGGCAGCGCAGCCAACGCGUGAAGUUGACCGCCUGGGGAGUACGGUCGCAAGAUUAAACCUUCCAAAGGAAUUGACGGGGACUCGCACAAGCGGAUGAUGAUUGUCUUGAUGCAACGGCGAAAACCUUACCUACCCUUGACAUGUCUGGAAUCCCGAAGUGAUUUGGGAGGUUUGAAGAGAACCGGAACACAGGUGCUGCAUGGCUGUCGUCAGCUCGUGUCGUGAGAUGUUGGGUUAAGUCCGCAACGAGCGCAACCCUUGUCAUUAGUUACACAAAGGCACUCCCUGACGAGACUGCCGGUGACAACCGAGGAAGGUGGGAUAAUGUCAAGUCCUCAUGGCCCUUAUGGGUAGGGCUUCGUCGUCAUACAAUUGGCCGGGACAGAGGGUCGCCAACCCGCGAGGGGGAGCCAAUCCCAGAAACCCGAUCGUAGUCCGAUCGCAGUCUGCAACUCGACUGCGUGAAGUCGGAAUCGCUAGUAAUCGCGGAUCAGCAUGUCGCGGUGAAUACGUUCCCGGGUCUUGUACACACCGCCCGUCACACCAUGCGGAGGGUUUUACCAGAAGUAGUUAGCCUAACCGUAAGGAGGGCGAUUACCACGGUAGGAUUCAUGACUGGGGUGAAGUCGUAACAAGGU